rnacentral:rRNA from 1 species
GGUAAGUUCCGACCUGCACGAAUGGCGUAAUGAUGGCCAGGCUGUCUCCACCCGAGACUCAGUGAAAUUGAACUCGCUGUGAAGAUGCAGUGUACCCGCGGCAAGACGGAAAGACCCCGUGAACCUUUACUAUAGCUUGACACUGAACAUUGAGCCUUGAUGUGUAGGAUAGGUGGGAGGCUUGGAAGUGUGGACGCCAGUCUGCAUGGAGCCGACCUUGAAAUACCACCCUUUAAUGUUUGAUGUUCUAACGUUGACCCGUAAUCCGGGUUGCGGACAGUGUCUGGUGGGUAGUUUGACUGGGGCGGUCUCCUCCUAAAGAGUAACGGAGGAGCACGAAGGUUGGCUAAUCCUGGUCGGACAUCAGGAGGUUAGUGCAAUGGCAUAAGCCAGCUUGACUGCGAGCGUGACGGCGCGAGCAGGUGCGAAAGCAGGUCAUAGUGAUCCGGUGGUUCUGAAUGGAAGGGCCAUCGCUCAACGGAUAAAAGGUACUCCGGGGAUAACAGGCUGAUACCGCCCAAGAGUUCAUAUCGACGGCGGUGUUUGGCACCUCGAUGUCGGCUCAUCACAUCCUGGGGCUGAAGUAGGUCCCAAGGGUAUGGCUGUUCGCCAUUUAAAGUGGUACGCGAGCUGGGUUUAGAACGUCGUGAGACAGUUCGGUCCCUAUCUGCCGUGGGCGCUGGAGAACUGAGGGGGGCUGCUCCUAGUACGAGAGGACCGGAGUGGACGCAUCACUGGUGUUCGGGUUGUCAUGCCAAUGGCACUGCCCGGUAGCUAAAUGCGGAAGAGAUAAGUGCUGAAAGCAUCUAAGCACGAAACUUGCC